UACGUAGGGUGCGAGCGUUAAUCGGAAUUACUGGGCGUAAAGCGUGCGCAGGCGGUUCGUUGUGUCGGUGGUGAAAGCCCCGGGCUUAACCUGGGAAUGGCCAUGGAAACUGGCGAACUGGAGUGUGGCAGAGGGGGGUGGAAUUCCACGUGUAGCAGUGAAAUGCGUAGAGAUGUGGAGGAACACCAGUGGCGAAGGCGACUUUCUGGCCUAUAACUGACGCUGAGGCGCGAAAGCGUGGGGAGCAAACAGG
rnacentral:rRNA from 1 species